rnacentral:rRNA from 1 species
UACGGAGGGUGCAAGCGUUGCUCGGAAUUAUUGGGCGUAAAGCGCACGUAGGCGGCCUAUUAAGUCGGGUGUGAAAGCCCAGGGCUCAACCCUGGAAGUGCACUCGAAACUGAUUGGCUUGAAUAUGGAAGAGGGUUGCGGAAUUCCCGGUGUAGAGGUGAAAUUCGUAGAUAUCGGGAGGAACACCGGUGGCGAAGGCGGCGACCUGGGUAGAUACUGACGCUGAGGCGCGAAAGCGUGGGGAGCAAACAGG